CUUAGGUUGCUUCACCCGGGAGUCCAGGGAGACCUUCUGCAUGGAUACGGGGGCCUUCUGAGUCCCCAGAACACACUGCGGUGUCCUGUUCUCCCUCUGAGACCCCUGAAUGUUUUGAGAGUAAGUCAUGGCCAAGGAGAACGAAGGAGACCACUUUUAAGUAAGAACAGGAAAAACCAAGGCUCAUGGAAUGUGCUCUCCGAGGAGGAAGCCUUUUUUUAAGGGCCAUUGCUUCCCCGGCUCUGAACCUUAGAAGACACGUCAUGCUUUGUGAUUGCCCAAGGUUCCCUUUGGUACACACGUGAUGAAGCAUCUAAAUAUUUCUCAAGCACAGUGGUAGGCUCUGUGGCAGACAAAGCCUGUAGACUCUGGCGCCUUCUCUCAUGGAAUUUUCAGGCUACUGGAGUGACACAGAAAGAGGAAGAGCAGCUUUACACUGUGAUGGAUUCCACAGCUGCUCAGCAGAGACCACUUCCAUGUGCUACUUUUCUGGUCUUGUGACUAAAAUUCUUGACAGAAACAAAGGAGGAAACAAGUUAUUUUGACUCAUAGUUACUAAGCAUCACAGCAAAGAAGGAAUGGUGGAACUCUUGGCAUCAGGGGUAUGCGGAUGUGUUCUUCACAACACGAUGGACCAGGAAGUAGAAACUAGGACCAGAACCAGGGGUAGAUGUCUCCUUCCAAGACUUGUCCUUAGUGACCCACAUCUGACAUUCAGGUUACAUCUCCUAAAUAGUAGCAGAGUUUUGGGGAAUAGUCCAGAUUCAAGCUACAUAAGUUAAGACCAACAGAGUGAUGUGAAUAUUGGCCUCCAGUUAGGCUUUCUGCAGAAUUGAAGCUCUGAUCUGAAGUAUGGUGGGUAAAUAGAAUCACAUGGGUAAGAUUGGGGCUAAGGGGAGGUGGGCAGUUAGGAAUGAGGUGUUGUAGUGACAGAAGCAGACAGGAAAGCAGAUACCUUCAUGGGGAGAGUAAGUCUGGGGGAUGGACUGGAAUAGAGACAGUUGCUGGGUUUAACACUUCGACUUUGAUAAUGCUAUGUUGUGUUUCAUUGUUAUCCAAACUGACUAACGACUAUAUCAUGCUAGCAUCUUAAAAGCUAUAGAAAUAGAUCUAAGAGAGCUGCAUUUCUGAGAAAUAUGUUAAGGUGAAACAGUCUCCCACAUGUGUUCUCCUUAGCUACAUGGUAUCUAGAAACUCAAACAGUGGAAUUCAAGAGGGAAGGAAGCUAGGGAAGAUAGAGACAUGGAGACCCCUGGAGGUAUUUGCUCCAUUUACUGUAAUCGUUUCUGAUGGGCAAUAUGACCUUGGACAAACUGAUGGAUUAUCUAGACCUCAAUGCAUUAGUAAAAAGCAACUUCCUCACAGAGCCGUUGUGAUCAUUAAGUAUGUUAUGGCAUAAGGUUCUUAGAACAAGGCAUAUUGGCAACCUUCAAAUAGCUACCAUGAUCAACAUUCUUAUUUAUCAUUUAUAUAACCUAAGUCAUGGAUCUUAGAACCCUUGGGACUCUGUUAUGUGACAGACACAAUAUAACUUACCUUAUCUUCAUCAUCUCAUUUAAUAUUUUCAACUACUCUAUAAGUCAACUAUCCCCAGUCUGAUGUUCAAAUGAGGUAAUUCUCCUGCCUAAGGAUGAUGGCAGUGUGCAAAUCCAAAGCCAGAGUUUUCUUUUCUUCAACCCUACACAUGAGGACAAUGGCGCCCUGGUUCUUUACUUUGUUUUCCUUAGCUCUGUUUGGUAGUCUCAUUUUAGAACUGUGUGGUCAGCCUAGAAGUAUGAUCAGCUUAAAAAAAUCCUCCUAGGAAUUAUAUCAAUAAACAUGGCAUUGAGAAUUGGCCACCAUAACCAAAGGACAGCCAAAUAAAAAUUACCAACAUACCAUGCAUUCCAACAAACACAGCAAAUGUUUUGAGGAGCCUGGGCCUAUUCUGCUUUGCCACUAGGUGUAUGGACAGUGACAGAACCUAGCUCUCAUUCAGGAGGCUUACCUCAGGGCAUCAAAACUGACCAAGAUCCAACACAAAAAUCACAGAAUAUAGAUUUGACACACUAAGCUACCUAUAUCUAUAUAUAGAAGCCCGAUUACAGACCUUCAAGUUGCAUGAAAGUAGUCAAAAGUUUCUCUUACCUAAGAAUACAUUUUGGACUUCAUACAGAUUUAUGCACAUUAAUUAAAAUGGAGGAGGGACAAAGCAUGUAAAAACAUGUUACAAGUAGGUGGCCAUUAUUCUUUAGUCCUAUACAUAAAACAAUUUGUUUCUGGGAAGAGGACAUUAGUUCCUAUGGUGAUUUGAACAAGACUUGUUCCCCAUAGUCAUGGGUUCUUGAACAUUCAGCCCACAUUUGGGGUGUUGUUGGAGCUGGUGGUUCAGCCUUGUUGGAGGACAUAUGUCACCAGGGAUGAGCUUUGAGAGUUCAUAGCCUGGCCCCACUUCCAGUUUGUUCUUUCUGCCUUGUGCCUAUGGUUGUGAAUAUGAUCGCUCCACUUCCUGCUCCACCUGCUGCCAUGCUUUACCCACCAUUAUGGACUCUCCUUCUGGAACCAUAAGGCAAAAUAAACUCCUUUUCCAUUAGCAAAUUUCAGUCAUGGCACUUUAUACAGCAACAGAAAUGUAACUAAUGUAGUUCCCAGAAGGUUUUCAGAAAAUGAGCCCCAAUGCAAGUGGACACUGUUUUAAAAAAGAUAAAAAAGUUUAGAGGUGUUGUUUCAGAAGCCUGGUGGGAGACAGAGUCCUGAGAGUGGGAUGGAGUCUUUACUAACAGUCCCAGUAUAUUGUGAUGUCUCAAUCCCAUCCCAAACCCAGAAGAAGGCUGGAAUUUAGAAGUAUGCUCAUAUUGAGAAGUGAGAGAAGAUGUGUCUUUUUGGAUCAGGAGUUGGGUGGUCCCGUCUCUCCUUCCAGACAUAGAUUAACAAUGACUUAAUUCUAGAAAUAUUGUCAGCAAGUAAAAUAAAUAGACUAAUGGCUGUGGGCAAAUUGUAUGGUAAUGUGUCUAAGCAUUGUUUCCAGUCUGACCCUUAAAUAUACAUUAAAUCAAUCUAGAUGGAUGAGUCAUCCUGCUCUUAAUUAAUCUUUUCAGACAUUUAUAGAG
rnacentral:lncRNA from 1 species